rnacentral:sRNA from 2 species
UUUUUUGUUUUCUGUGUCAUGAUAACUCCGUUAUUAGCCUUUUAUCGUCUUGUUUAUAUUUUUGAGCCGGCAUGAAGCCGGCUUUUUUU